UACGAAGGGGGCUAGCGUUGUUCGGAAUUACUGGGCGUAAAGCGCACGUAGGCGGGUUGUUAAGUCAGGGGUGAAAUCCUGGAGCUCAACUCCAGGACUGCCUUUGAUACUGGCAACCUAGAGACUGGAAGAGGUUAGUGGAAUUCCCAGUGUAGAGGUGAAAUGCGCAGAUAUCGGGAGGAACACCAAUGGCGAAGGCAGCUCGCUGGGACGGUACUGACGCUGAGACGCGAAAGCGUGGGGAGCAAACAGG
rnacentral:rRNA from 1 species